ACAGCAAAGCCGCGAGGUGGAGCGAAUCUCCAAAAAUUAGUCCCAGUUCAGAUUGCAGGCUGCAACUCGCCUGCAUGAAGUCGGAAUUGCUAGUAAUCGCGGAUCAGCAUGCCGCGGUGAAUACGUUCCCGGGCCUUGUACACACCGCCCGUCACACCAUGGGAGUCGGUAACACCCGAAGCCGAUAGUCUAACGAAAGAGGACGUCGUCGAAGGUGGGAUUGAUGACUGGGGUGAAGUCGUAACAAGGUAAC
rnacentral:rRNA from 1 species